rnacentral:misc_RNA from 1 species
AACGCAAAUUGCGCCUCUCUCCGGGAGGCAUGUCUGUUUGAGGGUCUUUUUUAAUGGAUAAUACUGCAAUUUUUGUUGUGGUACGUUUAUGGGCUUUCCGAGAAUUUUCUUGAAAAAUUAUCGGUGGCUUUGAAAAAAAGGACCAUUAGCACAGAUUUUUGCAACGACGGGUAGUAAAAAAGCAUCAAUAUAUGCGCAAAUACAAAAAACCUGUUUUAGUGAGAAUUUGUUGCAGUGGAGGUGAGAUAGGGUGUGGCAAGCUAAGCUCCAAGCUAAUAAGUUAAGCUAAGUUACCCAAGAGCAAAGCCACUCUUUCCCAAUAUGGAAAGAAAAUGGAAUAUUUAUAUUCCUUUAUUAUGAGACCUCAAAUCAGACAAGAAUACCCGCUGAACUUAA